UACGAAGGGGGCUAGCGUUGCUCGGAAUCACUGGGCGUAAAGCGCACGUAGGCGGGUCUUUAAGUCAGGGGUGAAAUCCUGGAGCUCAACUCCAGAACUGCCUUUGAUACUGAAGAUCUUGAGUGCGGGAGAGGUGAGUGGAACUGCGAGUGUAGAGGUGAAAUUCGUAGAUAUUCGCAAGAACACCAGUGGCGAAGGCGGCUCACUGGCCCGAUACUGACGCUGAGGCACGAAAGCGUGGGGAGCGAACAGG
rnacentral:rRNA from 1 species